GCCGCGGUAGCUCAGCGUGGCUGGAGCGCUGCCCUGGUAUGCUACAGCCAAGGCAGGCAGAGGUCCCGGGUUCAAAUCCCGGCCGCGGCU
rnacentral:tRNA from 1 species